CACGUAGGCACCAAGCGUUAUCCGGAUUUAUUGGGCGUAAAGAGCUCGUAGGCGGUUCGGUAAGUCGGGUGUGAAAACUCUGGGCUCAACCCAGAGAGGCCACCCGAUACUGCUGUGACUAGAGUGCGGUAGGGGAGCGGGGAAUUCCUGGUGUAGGGUGAAAUGCGCAGAUAUCAGGAGGAACACCAGCGGCGAAGGCGCCGCUCUGGGCCGUAACUGACGCUGAGGAGCGAAAGCAUGGGUAGCAAACAGG
rnacentral:rRNA from 1 species